GGUGCUGGAUAACUCGAUCCGGCUGGUGCUCGAGGUCGCUCAGCAUUUGGGGGAGAACACGGUCCGGACCAUCGCUAUGGAUGGGACGGAGGGACUUGUUCGCGGACAGAGGGUGCUUAACACCGGAUCUCCGAUCACUGUGCCUGUUGGAAGGGCUACCCUUGGACGCAUCAUUAAUGUCAUUGGUGAAGCGAUUGAUCAUAGGGGUGACAUAAAGACAAGCCACUACCUUCCCAUCCAUCGGGAAGCACCUGCUUUCGUUGAACAGGCAACAGAGCAACAGAUUCUUGUCACUGGUAUCAAGGUUGUCGAUCUUCUUGCUCCCUAUCAGAGGGGUGGAAAGAUUGGUCUCUUUGGUGGUGCUGGGGUUGGGAAGACUGUACUUAUUAUGGAGCUGAUAAACAAUGUUGCCAAAGCUCAUGGUGGUUUCUCUGUC
rnacentral:misc_RNA from 1 species